UCAGACAUGGUGUAGUGGGAACAUAGCCUGUUAACAUGGUACAGUAGAUUUCUUGUGAGGGGCAGUCCAGGGUUCAAAUCCCUCUGUCUGAA